rnacentral:rRNA from 1 species
UAGGGAAUCUUCCGCAAUGGACGCAAGUCUGACGGAGCAACGCUGCGUGAGUGAAGAAGGAUUUCGGUUCGUAAAACUCUGUUGUUAGAGAAGAACAGCGCAUAGAGUAACUGUUAUGCGUGUGACGGUAUCUAACCAGAAAGCCACGGCUAACUACGUGCCAGCAGCCGCGGUAAUACGUAGGGCGCAAGCGUUAUCCGGAAUUAUUGGGCGUAAAGAGCUUGUAGGCGGUUCGUCGCGUCUGGUGUGAAAGCCCAUCGCUUAACGGUGGGUUUGCGCCGGGUACGGGCGGGCUAGAGUGCAGUAGGGGAGACUGGAAUUCUCGGUGUAACGGUGGAAUGUGUAGAUAUCGGGAAGAACACCAAUGGCGAAGGCAGGUCUCUGGGCUGUUACUGACGCUGAGAAGCGAAAGCGUGGGGAGCGAACAGG